GUCUAUGGAACAUGCCGCAGCAGUUUCCCGCCACCUUCUUGCCCUCUCUCUCAGUGCAGCGCAUAUAAGCCACGCGCGCACCGGGAUUGCAAACGAUCGUACACCGGGGAGAGGAGAGGAGAGGAGAGAUUGGCUGGCCUAUAUCUGCAGGACCAAGUACCCAAUUAAGUACGUGUAGCUGCGGGUUGAGACGUACGGCCGGCCAUGAGAGGCA
rnacentral:lncRNA from 1 species